AGGAAACAACCACGCAUUAAUACUGCAAUUAAAUAGCAAAAUGGGUAAAGCAGGAGAUUAUGGGCAGCUAGCUUGGAUGUUCCCACUGGCCUUUUGAGUGUCUCUUCCCAUGGACUGCAGAGGAAAUUUGGACUUCUAAACUCAUAUGUCCUGAAUUGCACCGAAGAAUAGGAGAACACAUGGAGCAGUCACUACCAAUAGUGGAUAGCUCAUGACAUCUUACCAUCAUGAAGGCAAAAGAAGUUGGAACUGGGAACCAGAAGAACUUCUGACUAUUUCACCAAUGAACUGGAUUUGGAGUGGUGGAGAGAAGCAGCGGGUUUUCCUUCUGCAUCUGAUACUCCUACUGGCUGUUAUACCAAGCACGCCACUCUCGCAGAGCCUAUUGUUAAAUUUGAAUAGUAG